rnacentral:rRNA from 1 species
UACGGAGGGUGCAAGCGUUAUCCGGAAUCACUGGGUUUAAAGGGUGCGUAGGCGGCUCGAUAAGUCAGUCGUGAAAUUCCCCGGCUUAACCGGCGGGACUGCGAUUGAUACUGUUGAACUUGAAUCAGGUUGAGGUAGGCGGAAUGUGGCAUGUAGCGGUGAAAUGCUUAGAUAUGCCAUAGAACACCGAUUGCGAAGGCAGCUUGCUGGACCUGUAUUGACGCUGAGGCACGAAAGCGUGGGGAGCAAACAGG